rnacentral:rRNA from 1 species
AUUGAACGCUGGCGGCAGGCCUAACACAUGCAAGUCGAACGGUAACAGGAAGAAGCUUGCUUCUUUGCUGACGAGUGGCGGACGGGUGAGUAAUGUCUGGGAAACUGCCUGAUGGAGGGGGAUAACUACUGGAAACGGUAGCUAAUACCGCAUAAUGUCGCAAGACCAAAGAGGGGGACCUUCGGGCCUCUUGCCAUCGGAUGUGCCCAAAUGGGAUUAGCUAGUAGGUGGGGUAACGGCUCACCUAGGCGACGAUCCCUAGCUGGUCUGAGAGGAUGACCAGCCACACUGGAACUGAGACACGGUCCAGACUCCUACGGGAGGCAGCAGUGGGGAAUAUUGCACAAUGGGCGCAAGCCUGAUGCAGCUAUGCCGCGUGUAUGAAGAAGGCCUUCGGGUUGUAAAGUACUUUCAGCGGGGAGGAAGGGAGUAAAGUUAAUACCUUUGCUCAUUGACGUUACCCGCAGAAGAAGCACCGGCUAACUCCGUG